GGACGAUGACUAGGACAGUGAUGAGGACGGUGACGGUGACUAGGACGAUGACAAGGACGGUGACGAGGACGGUGACUGGGACGGUGACGAGGAAGAUGACGAGGACAGUGACGAGGACGGUGACGAUGACUAGGACGAUGACUAGGACGGUGACGAGAACGAUGACGGGGACAAUGACGAGGACGGUGACGAGGACAAGGACGGUGACGAGGACAGUGACUGGGACGAUGACGAGGACGGUGACUGGGACAAUGACUGGAAUGAUGACUGGGACGGUGACUGGGACAAUGACUGGAACGAUGACUGGGACGAUGAAGAGGACGGUGACAAGGACUGUGACGAGGACGGUAUCGUCCUAGUCACCGUCCUAAUCAUCAUCCUAGUCACUGUCCUAGUCAUCGUCCUCAUCAUCAUCUUCGUCACCGUCCUCGUCAUCGUCCUCGUCAUCGUCCUCGUCAUCGUCCUCGUCACCGUCACCGCCUCGUCACCGUCCCACUCAUUGUCCCCGUCAUCGUUCUCGUCCUCAUCACUGUCCUCGUCAUCGUCCUCGUCCUCGUCCCAGUCAUCGUCCUAGUCACCGUCCUCGUCAUCGUCCCAGUCACCGCCUUCGUCCUCGUCACCGUCCUAGUCAUCGUCCUCGUCACCGUCCUAGUCCUUGUCACCGUCCUAGUUAUCGUCCCAGUCAUCGUCCUCGUCAUCGUCCUAGUCAUCGUCCCAGUCAUCGUCCUAGUCACCGUCCUAGUCACCGUCCUAGUCCUCGUCGUCACCGUCCUAGUCACCGUCCUAGUCAUCGUCCUAGUCACUGUCCUAGUCAUCGU
rnacentral:lncRNA from 1 species